rnacentral:rRNA from 1 species
CUACGGGAGGCAGCAGUGAGGAAUCUUGCGCAAUGGGCGAAAGCCUGACGCAGCAACGCCGCGUGGGGGAUGAAGGCUCUCGGGUUGUAAACCCCUUUCAGCAGGGACGAAAUUGACGGUACCUGCAGAAGAAGCCCCGGCUAACUACGUGCCAGCAGCCGCGGUAACACGUAGGGGGCAAGCGUUGUCCGGAUUUAUUGGGCGUAAAGAGCUCGUAGGUGGCUAAGUAAGUCGGGUGUCAAAUCCCCAGGCUCAACCUGGGUCUCCACCCGAUACUGCUUUGGCUAGAGUCCGGUAGGGGAGCGUGGAAUUCCUGGUGUAGCGGUGAAAUGCGCAGAUAUCAGGAGGAACACCAGCGGCGAAGGCGGCGCUCUGGGCCGGUACUGACACUGAGGAGCGAAAGCGUGGGUAGCAAACAGGAUUAGAAACCCCAGUAGUCC